rnacentral:rRNA from 1 species
AACGAACGCUGGCGGCGCGUUUUAAGCAUGCAAGUCGAGCGGCAAGGGUCUUCGGGCCCCUAGAGCGGCGGACGGGUGAGUAACACGUGGACAAUCUGCCCCCCGGCCGGGGAUAGCCCAGGGAAACCUGGAUUAAUACCGGAUGAGACGGGACCCGCGGAGGCGGGAUCCGGGAAAGGCGCUGCGGCGCCGCCGGGGGAUGAGUCUGCGUCCCAUUAGCUUGACGGCGGGGUAACGGCCCACCGUGGCGACGACGGGUAGCCGGCCUGAGAGGGUGUACGGCCACAUUGGAACUGAGACACGGUCCAGACUCCUACGGGAGGCAGCAGCUAAGAAUCUUCCGCAAUGGGCGAAAGCCUGACGGAGCGACGCCGCGUGAACGAAGAAGGCCGUGAGGUUGUAAAGUUCUUUUCGGGAGGGGGAACAACCGUGGCAGGGAAUGGCCGCGGGAUGACGUGAAUCCCGGAAUAAGCCCCGGCUAACUACGUGCCAGCAGCCGCGGUAACACGUAGGGGGCGAGCGUUGUUCGGAAUCAUUGGGCGUAAAGGGCGUGCAGGCGGUCCUGCAAGUCCGGCGUGAAAGACCCCGGCCCAACCGGGGGGGCGCGCUGGAAACUGCAGGGCUUGAGUACAGGAGGGGAUGCCGGAAUUCCAGGUGUAGGGGUGAAAUCUGUAGAUAUCUGGAGGAACACCAAUGGCGAAGGCAGGCAUCUGGCCAUGUACUGACGCUGAGACGCGAAGGUGCGGGGAGCAAACA